rnacentral:rRNA from 1 species
GAUGAACGCUAGCGACAGGCUUAACACAUGCAAGUCGAGGGGUAACAGGGUAGCAAUACCGCUGACGACCGGCGCACGGGUGAGUAACGCGUAUGCAACCUGCCUAUAACUGGGGAAUAGCUCCCUGAAAGGGGAAUUAACACCGCAUAACACUAUUGAUUCGCAUGGAUUAGUAGUUAAAUGUAGCGAUACAGGUUAUAGAUGGGCAUGCGUGACAUUAGCUAGUUGGUGAGGUAACGGCUCACCAAGGCUACGAUGUCUAGGGGUUCUGAGAGGAAGGUCCCCCACACUGGUACUGAGACACGGGACCAGACUCCUACGGGAGGCAGCAGUGAGGAAUAUUGGUCAAUGGGCGCAAGCCUGAACCAGCCAUGUCGCGUGCAGGAAACUGCCCUAUGGGUUGUAAACUGCUUUUAAGUAGAAGAAACACAUCUACGCAUAGAUGUCUGCCAGUAUACUAUGAAUAGC